UUGGGCCCUAGUCUUUAAACUUUGAAGAAAAGGCAUAAAUAACUCUGAAAGAAACUUUUUUGAAAGAAAAUAGAAUAUUUUUCAGAAUUGAAUGUUUAUAUUUUAAAAUGGUGUAAGAUGAUAAAAACGUACUGAGUCACUUUGGAUUUUAGGCUUAACCAAAGUCUGUAAUUGGUAUGAAAAUAAAAUCCCCAAAUUUGUUAUUUUUUCAAAGUUAUAGAGGUUGUUGGUUUGUGUUAGAAGUAUUGGGAAAUAAAAUGACAUGUUUAUCAUUACUUUUUAUAUUCUUUCCUGUUUAUAUCUAUUAGAAGCUUUAUAGUUGAUAUUAAAGUAAUUCUAAUGUAUUAUUAUUUUCCCAGGUUAUAGAAUCAAAGUAAAUUCAAUGAUA
rnacentral:lncRNA from 1 species